ensembl:snRNA U6 U6 spliceosomal RNA
GUGCUCAGUUCAGCAGCACAUAUACUAAAGUUGGAACGAUACAAAGAUGAGCACAGCCCCUGUGUAAGGAUGACCCGCAAAUUUGUGAGGCAUUCCAUAUUUUU